rnacentral:RNase_P_RNA from 1 species
UGAGCUGGCCAGGCGGCCGCGUGGCCCCCUCGGGGGUCCCGAGGAACGUCCGGGCUCCGCAGGGCAGGGUGAUGGCUAACGGCCACCCGGGGUGACCCGCGGGACAGUGCCACAGAGAGCAGACCGCCUCUCGACCUCGGUCGGGAGGUAAGGGUGAAAGGGUGAGGUAAGAGCUCACCGCGCGACUGGUGACAGGAGCGGCAAGGUAAACCCCACCCGGAGCAAGGCCAGACAGGAUGCGUUCGAGGGCUGCCCGCCCGAGCAUCCGGGUAGGUCGCUAGAGGCGUACGGCAACGUGCGUCGUAGAUGGAUGGCCGCCCCUCGUGAGCGGCGACGCGAGCGAGCGACAAAACCCGGCGUAUCGGCCAGCUCAUCCG